rnacentral:rRNA from 2 species
GGGUGGUAAUGCCGGAUGCUCCGACUCCUCGCAUGGGGUGUCGGGAAAGAUUUCAUCGGUAUGGGAUGGGGUCGCGUCCUAUCAGGUAGUCGGCGGGGUAACGGCCCACCGAGCCUACGACGGGUAGCCGGCCUGAGAGGGCGACCGGCCACAUUGGGACUGAGAUACGGCCCAGACUCCUACGGGAGGCAGCAGUGGGGAAUAUUGCACAAUGGGCGCAAGCCUGAUGCAGCGACGCCGCGUGCGGGAUGACGGCCUUCGGGUUGUAAACCGCUUUUGAUCGGGAGCAAGCCUUCGGGUGAGUGUACCUUUCGAAUAAGCACCGGCUAACUACGUGCCAGCAGCCGCGGUAAUACGUAGGGUGCAAGCGUUAUCCGGAAUUAUUGGGCGUAAAGGGCUCGUAGGCGGUUCGUCGCGUCCGGUGUGAAAGUCCAUCGCUUAACGGUGGAUCUGCGCCGGGUACGGGCGGGCUGGAGUGCGGUAGGGGAGACUGGAAUUCCCGGUGUAACGGUGGAAUGUGUAGAUAUCGG